rnacentral:lncRNA from 1 species
AGUUUUGUGAGCUCCAUGAAGCGGAGUACAUGGAGGUCCUCCUCCAUGUCUCGGUUCGUUGGCUAAGCCUUGAACGCUGUGUGACCAGGAUCCUGAGGCUUUAUGAACCUCUGGCCAGCUACUUCAAAUCUGCUGGUAUAGAUCAUUUAUCUAUUUCAUUAUGCAGCAACUACAUGGAUUGUUAGUCACAUACUUGUAUUAUUGAUAACCUCUUGUUUUGUGUUAUUUAUUGAUUGAUUCAAGAUGAAAACCAGGCCAGGUUCAAGAGGCUUGUGCAGACGUUCACUGACCCCAUGACAGAAGUGUACCUGCUGUUCUUUCAAUCCACCGUUCCAACUUUCACUACUUUCAACUUGCUUCUUCAAAGAGAGCGGUCAUCAAUAUUUAUGUUGUAUGAUGAGAUGGAGAAAUUUGUACGCAAGCUUUGUUCAAAGUUCAUUGUUCCAGCAGCUCUGCAGGGCCUUGAGGAGCCUGGUGACAUUGCCUUUGGGGAGACGGCAAACCAUUUGCCAGGAAGAAAGUUGAACAUUGGGUUCACAACCAGGGCUAAACUCAACAGGCUACUUGACGAGGGUGACAUCACACCACAGCAGGUGGAUUCAUUCCAUGAAGCUGUGGUAUGUUUCCUGACAAGUGCUGUGGCCUAUGCACUAAAGAAGCUGCCACUGAAAGAGCCACUGCUCAAACAUUCAAAAUUUGUAGACGUACGGCAGAGGGCUGAAAGUGACAUCGGAGCUGUCCUGUACUUUGUUGAAAGGUUUCCCCAUCUCCUCCCAUACCAUGGUCCAGAGGAGCAUGACCUUCUGGGUGAGGAGUUUCUAAGUUAUCAGACCAUGCCAAUGAUAUCCCUGCAGGAUGAAACUGAAAUGGAAAGCUUCUGGGCUGAAAUGGCAACCCGGAAACAUAAGGUGACAGGAGCCAACGAAUUUCAGAGGCUUGCUGCCGUUGCCAAGCUGGUCCUGGUGUUGCCCCAUUCCAACGCAGACGCUGAGUGGGUGUUUUCAGUUGUGGGACUGAACAAAACAAAGACCAGAAACAGCCUAGCACUGGAUGGCACCCUGUCCUCAAUAAUGACCAUAAAGAUGGCCGACCUGGAGCCCUGUUUCAAAUGGGAGCCCCCCUCAGAUGUCCUCAAGGCCUCCAAGAAGGCCACAGGCCAGUAUAACCGUGCCCACAGAUCAUAG